rnacentral:rRNA from 1 species
CCUACGGGUGGCAGCAGUGGGGGAUAUUGCACAAUGGGGGGAACCCUGAUGCAGCGACGCCGCGUGGGUGAAGAAGCGCCUCGGCGCGUAAAGCCCUGUCAGCAGGGAAGAAAAUGACGGUACCUGUAGCCGCAGCCCCGGCCAACACCGUGCCAGCAGCCGCGGUAAUACGUAGGGGGCAAGCGUUAUCCGGAUUUACGGGGUGUAAAGGGGGCGCAGACGGCGGUGCAAGCCAGGAGUGAAAGCCCGGGGCCCAACCCCGGGACUGCUCGUGGAACUGCGUGGCUGGAGUGCAGGAGGGGCAGGCGGAAUUCCUGGUGUAGCGGUGAAAUGCGUAGAGAUCGGGAGGAACACCGGUGGCGAAGGCGGCCUGCUGGACGGCGACUGACGUUGAGGCGCGAAAGCGUGGGGAGCAAACAGGAUUAGAUACCCCGGUAGUC